GUGCUCACUUUGACAGCACACAUACCAAAACUGGAACAAUACAGAGAAGAUUGGCAUGGCCCCUUGGCAAGGAUGACAUGCAAAUUCAUGAAGUGGUCCAUAUUUUU